rnacentral:rRNA from 1 species
AGUGAACGCUGGCGGUAGGCCUAACACAUGCAAGUCGAACGGCAGCACAGGAGAGCUUGCUCUCUGGGUGGCGAGUGGCGGACGGGUGAGGAAUACAUCGGCAUCUAAUCUGUGGUGGGGGAUAACGUAGGGAAACUUACGCUAAUACCGCAUACGACCUACGGGUGAAAGCAGGGGAGCUUCGGACCUUGCGCGAUUGACUGAGCCGAGGUCGGAUUAGCUAGGUGGCGGGGUAAGGGCACACCAAGGCGACGAUCCGUACCUGGUCUGAGAGGAUGAUCAGCCACACUGGAACGGCGACACGGUCCAGACUCCUACGGGAGGCAGCAGUGGGGAAUAUUGGACAAUGGGCGCAAGCCUGAUCCAGCCAUGCCGCGUGGGUGAAGAAGGCCUUCGGGUUGUAAAGCCCUUUUGCUGGGGAAGAAAGCCAGCUGGCUAAUACCCGGUUGGGAUGACGGUACCCAAAGAAUAAGCACCGGCUAACUUCGUGCCAGCCGCCGCGGUAA